AACUAAACAAAGCAAGACUUGCAUUCGACGACCACGCGCGUGUCUUUUGUCAUAUUUUAUUUUCUUUUUUGGAAGUUAUUAUAAGACAGUGUUUUAUUCAUUCUUAUUAAAUGAUGGCCAGUAUUCCUGUGUUCUAAAUUUAAAUUGUGGAAAACUUAAUGAUUUUAGAAAUUGAAUGCACUUCUAGGACAAAUAUUGUGCUAAGUGUUUCACUAUGGUGGAAGUAAGUAAGCAUCUUUUCGACGAGAAAUGUAAAGAUGUAAGCUGUCAAUUAUUAUUGCAUCCGUGGCAUUCGAGUUGCUUCAUAUCAACACUACCGGCGUAUAAACAUUCAUUUUUGGGCAGCGCUAAAUUUUAUUUGCUCAUACAUCUGGUACAAAAUGUGAUGCGUGGUAGAAAAGUAUUGAAGAGGAAAGAGUUAAUACAAAUGGGUGAAUAUUAUAUAAGAUCAACAAUUCUGGGCGGAUUGAUCUCAGGCAGUUGUUGUUCGUUUGGUUGUUUAUUUAGGUAAGAUGGCUUUUAGGUAAUAAAAUGAAUUACUAUACGUAUUUGUUUUUACCAAAUGUGAUAAAUGGAGUUUGCAUAUUGCUGGAGCCACCGAGUAGAAGAGGAUUGAUUAUUAAUCUGUUUUCUAACUUAGUA